rnacentral:rRNA from 1 species
GGGACACGUGGUAUCCUGUCUGAAUAUGGGGGGACCAUCCUCCAAGGCUAAAUACUCCUGACUGACCGAUAGUGAACCAGUACCGUGAGGGAAAGGCGAAAAGAACCCCGGCGAGGGGAGUGAAAAAGAACCUGAAACCGUGUACGUACAAGCAGUGGGAGCCUCUUAAUGGGGUGACUGCGUACCUUUUGUAUAAUGGGUCAGCGACUUAUAUUCUGUAGCAAGGUUAACCGAAUAGGGGAGCCGAAGGGAAACCGAGUCUUAACUGGGCGUUAAGUUGCAGGGUAUAGACCCGAAACCCGGUGAUCUAGCCAUGGGCAGGUUGAAGGUUGGGUAACACUAACUGGAGGACCGAACCGACUAAUGUUGAAAAAUUAGCGGAUGACUUGUGGCUGGGGGUGAAAGGCCAAUCAAACCGGGAGAUAGCUGGUUCUCCCCGAAAGCUAUUUAGGUAGCGCCUCGUGAAUUCAUCUCCGGGGGUAGAGCACUGUUUCGGCAAGGGGGUCAUCCCGACUUACCAACCCGAUGCAAACUGCGAAUACCGGAGAAUGUUAUCACGGGAGACACACGGCGGGUGCUAACGUCCGUCGUGAAGAGGGAAACAACCCAGACCGCCAGCUAAGGUCCCAAAGUCAUGGUUAAGUGGGAAACGAUGUGGGAAGGCCCAGACAGCCAGGAUGUUGGCUUAGAAGCAGCCAUCAUUUAAAGAAAGCGUAAUAGCUCACUGGUCGAGUCGGCCUGCGCGGAAGAUGUAACGGGGCUAAACCAUGCACCGAAGCUGCGGCAGCGACACUAUGUGUUGUUGGGUAGGGGAGCGUUCUGUAAGCCUGUGAAGGUGUACUGUGAGGUAUGCUGGAGGUAUCAGAAGUGCGAAUGCUGACAUAAGUAACGAUAAAGCGGGUGAAAAGCCCGCUCGCCGGAAGACCAAGGGUUCCUGUCCAACGUUAAUCGGGGCAGGGUGAGUCGACCCCUAAGGCGAGGCCGAAAGGCGUAGUCGAUGGGAAACAGGUUAAUAUUCCUGUACUUGGUGUUACUGCGAAGGGGGGACGGAGAAGGCUAUGUUGGCCGGGCGACGGUUGUCCCGGUUUAAGCGUGUAGGCUGGUUUUCCAGGCAAAUCCGGAAAAUCAAGGCUGAGGCGUGAUGACGAGGCACUACGGUGCUGAAGCGACAAAUGCCCUGCUUCCAGGAAAAGCCUCUAAGCAUCAGGUAACAUCAAAUCGUACCCCAAACCGACACAGGUGGUCAGGUAGAGAAUACCAAGGCGCUUGAGAGAACUCGGGUGAAGGAACUAGGCAAAAUGGUGCCGUAACUUCGGGAGAAGGCACGCUGAUAUGUAGGUGAAGCGACUUGCUCGUGGAGCUGAAAUCAGUCGAAGAUACCAGCUGGCUGCAACUGUUUAUUAAAAACACAGCACUGUGCAAACACGAAAGUGGACGUAUACGGUGUGACGCCUGCCCGGUGCCGGAAGGUUAAUUGAUGGGGUUAGCGGUAACGCGAAGCUCUUGAUCGAAGCCCCGGUAAACGGCGGCCGUAACUAUAACGGUCCUAAGGUAGCGAAAUUCCUUGUCGGGUAAGUUCCGACCUGCACGAAUGGCGUAAUGAUGGCCAGGCUGUCUCCACCCG